rnacentral:rRNA from 1 species
GACGAACGCUGGCGGCGUGCUUAACACAUGCAAGUCGAACGGAAAGGCCCUGCUUUUGUGGGGUGCUCGAGUGGCGAACGGGUGAGUAACACGUGAGUAACCUGCCCUUGACUUUGGGAUAACUUCAGGAAACUGGGGCUAAUACCGGAUAGGAGCUCCUGCUGCAUGGUGGGGGUUGGAAAGUUUCGGCGGUUGGGGAUGGACUCGCGGCUUAUCAGCUUGUUGGUGGGGUAGUGGCUUACCAAGGCUUUGACGGGUAGCCGGCCUGAGAGGGUGACCGGCCACAUUGGGACUGAGAUACGGCCCAGACUCAUACGGGAGGCAGAAGUGGGGAAUAUUGCACAAUGGGCGGAAGCCUGAUGCAGCAACGCCGCGUGCGGGAUGACGGCCUUCGGGUUGUAAACCGCUUUCGCCUGUGACGAAGCGUGAGUGACGGUAAUGGGUAAAGAAGCACCGGCUAACUACGUG